UGUACCGAUCUGUUAUGUUUGAGCGAAGGAAGGACGCAGGAGGCUAAGGUGAGCACGCAGCUGGAAAAGCGUGUCCAAGCACUGAGUCUGGGAGCGAGUCAAAUGCUUGUUCCUAAGGACAAGGUGUGAUGGGGAGCGAAAUUAAGUAGCGAAGCACCUGAUGUCACACUGCCGAGAAAAGUUUCUAGUGAGUAACAGAUCGCCCGUACCGCAAACCGACACAGGUAGUCGAGGAGAGUAUCCUCAGGCGCGCGAGAGAACCCUCGUUAAG
rnacentral:rRNA from 1 species